rnacentral:rRNA from 1 species
UACAGAGGGUGCGAGCGUUAAUCGGAAUUACUGGGCGUAAAGCGCGCGUAGGCGGCUUUGCAAGUCGGGUGUGAAAUCCCCAGGCUUAACCUGGGAACUGCAUUCGAGACUGCAUUGCUAGAGUAUGGGAGAGGGAAGUGGAAUUUCCGGUGUAGCGGUGAAAUGCGUAGAUAUCGGAAGGAACAUCAGUGGCGAAAGCGACUUCCUGGACCAAUACUGACGCUCAUGUGCGAAAGCAUGGGGAGCGAACGGG